GGAAAUCCACUGCAAAAAUUUUUCCAUUACUGCGUAGAAUCCUGACUUGUGGAAAAGCAGCCCUUCAGAAAGAGGGCUCGUUCUUAGGUUCUUGCCAAGUGGUUUCUGUUCUGGAUGCCAUGAGAUCUCCUGUUCACCCACGACCGGACACCAAGAAGGGCAGUUUACAUGUUUGAUGCUUCAGGCAAGAAGAUUACAAUCUGAACUGACCGAAUACAUGUGCAAAGAGGAGCAAAGAGAGACCUUCAGGCACAAGAAAACAUAAACUUUUGGGAAGGGAAUCAGUGACAAUCUAAUACUUCAGUGAAGAAAUAUGCAUAAAAGAGGAGGAAAUGUGUUCCACAAAGAAGGAAGAUGUAAAGGAUGUUUUCCAUCUUCUCGGCUAAGAGAAGGCCAAGAUUGCCCAUAUGCAAUGACUAAAUGUGAAGUACAGAAGAAAGGACAAAAAAAGUACAGAUUUUGAAAAAGGCAAGGUGAAAAACAAAACUCUUUUUUUCUUUUAUUAAAAUUUGUUGCAAACACAUACGUAGUUUAAAUGAUUUUCACUGUAGCAUGUGCAUAGAUUUGUGUGUUCUUGCCUAUACCCUAUGUUGUUUAAAUUGGAUUUCCUUAGAGUACUUGUGUGAGGUAUUUUGUGUGCAAUAUUUUAUUAUAAUUAAAGUGGAUUUGAAAGAAAAAUCUUGCUUUUCCUGUUUUAAGUGCGUAGAAGGGUGGUUUUGGUUGCAAUCUGUAAUUACAGGAUGGAGAGUUCCUCCUGGUUUUGGUGUUACCAUUAUUCAACUCCUGUCCUUCAAAUUUCAGGCGGUCCUGAAAAUUGUCUGUACUUUCAUACUCACUUAAGAAAGUGAGAGCCCCUAACAUAGUCUUUGGUCACCUUUAUUCAUCCUUGGCUUCUGUUAAAAAUUUGCUUUAUGGCCCAGAUCUGUUUUUUGGCUUAUUAUUAGAACACUCAAUGCAUCUUUACUAAAGAGAAGAUCCCUCCCAACACACUAGCUGUUUCUCACUGUGUUGGGGUAGCUUGUGCGACCUUAUCUCUGAGUAAAAUAAGCAUGCC
rnacentral:lncRNA from 1 species